rnacentral:rRNA from 1 species
UGACCUUUGACCUCAAAUCAGGUAGGGUUACCCGCUGAACUUAAGCAUAUCAAUAAGCGGAGGAAAAGAAACUAACAAGGAUUCCCCUAGUAACUGCGAGUGAAGCGGGAAAAGCUCAAAUUUAAAAUCUGGCGGUCUUUGGCCGUCCGAGUUGUAGUCUGGAGAAGUGUUUUCCGUGCUGGACCGUGUACAAGUCUCUUGGAACAGAGCGUCAUAGAGGGUGAGAAUCCCGUCUUUGACACGGACUACCAGUGCUUUGUGAUGCGCUCUCAAAGAGUCGAGUUGUUUGGGAAUGCAGCUCAAAAUGGGUGGUAAAUUCCAUCUAAAGCUAAAUAUUGGCGAGAGACCGAUAGCGAACAAGUACCGUGAGGGAAAGAUGAAAAGCACUUUGGAAAGAGAGUUAAACAGUACGUGAAAUUGCUGAAAGGGAAACGCUUGAAGUCAGUCGCGUUGAUCAGAACUCAGCCUUGCUUUUGCUUGGUGCAUUUUCUGGUUGACGGGCCAGCAUCGAUUUUGACCAUCGGAAAAAGGCCAGGGGAAUGUGGCACCUUCGGGUGUGUUAUAGCCCUUGGUCACAUACGGUGGUUGGAAUCGAGGACCGCAGCACGCCUUUAUGGCCGGGGUUCGCGCCCGUCGGCUAGGAGCGGAAAUGUCAGACUGACAACGGCGGGUU